ACGCUGGCGGCACGCCUAACACAUGCAAGUCGAACGAAGUAGCAAUACUUAGUGGCAGACGGGUGAGUAACAUGUAGGUAUCUGCCCUUUGGCCUGGAAUAACACGAGGAAACUUGUGCUAAUACCGGAUAAGUCUUUACGGAGAAAGCUUUAUGCACCAUUGGAUGAGCCUGCACUUGAUUAGUUUGUUGGUGGGGUAAUGGCCUACCAAGACUGUGAUCAAUAGCUGAUUUGAGAGGAUGAUCAGCCACAUUGGGACUGAGACACGGCCCAAACUCCUACGGGAGGCAGCAGUGGGGAAUCUUGCACAAUGGAGGAAACUCUGAUGCAGCGAUGCCGCGUGAGUGAAGAGGGCCCUUGGGUUGUAAAGCUCUUUCGUCGGGGAAGAAAAUGACUGUACCCGAAUAAGAAGGUCCGGCUAACUUCGUGCCAGCAGCCGCGGUAAUACGAAGGGACCUAGCGUAGUUCGGAAUUACUGGGCUUAAAGAGUUCGUAGGUGGUUGAAAAAGUUGGUGGUGAAAUCCCAGAGCUUAACUCUGGAACUGCCAUCAAAACUUUUCAGCUAGAGUAUGAUAGAGGAAAGCAGAAUUUCUAGUGUAGAGGUGAAAUUCGUAGAUAUUAGAAAGAAUACCAAUUGCGAAGGCAGCUUUCUGGAUCAUUACUGACACUGAGGAACGAAAGCAUGGGUAGCGAAGAGGAUUAGAUACCCUCGUAGUCCAUGCCGUAAACGAUGUGUGUUAGACGUUGGAAAUUUAUUUUCAGUGUCGCAGCGAAAGCGAUAAACACACCGCCUGGGGAGUACGACCGCAAGGUUAAAACUCAAAUGAAUUGACGGGGACCCGCACAAGUAGUGGAGCAUGUGGUUUAAUUCGAAGAUACGCGCAGAACCUUACCAACACUUGACAUGUUCGUCGCGACUCUAAGAGAUUAGAGUUUUCGGUUCGGCCGGACGAAACACAGGUGCUGCAUGGCUGUCGUCAGCUCGUGUCGUGAGAUGUUGGGUUAAGUCCCGCAACGAGCGCAACCCUCACUUUUAGUUGCCAUCAUUAAGUUGGGCACUCUGAAAGAACUGCCAGUGAUAAGCUGGAGGAAGGUGGGGAUGACGUCAAGUCCUCAUGGCCCUUACGUGUUGGGCUACACACGUGCUACAAUGGUAUCUACAACAGGAAGCAAGACUGCGAAGUUAAGCAAAUCCCUAAAAGAUACCUCAGUUCGGAUUGCACUCUGCAACUCGAGUGCAUGAAGCUGGAAUUACUAGUAAUCGUGGAUCAGCGUGCCACGGUGAAUGCGUUCCCGGGUCUUGUACACACCGC
rnacentral:rRNA from 1 species